UACGUAGGCAGCAAGCGUUGUUCGGAAUUACUGGGCGUAAAGAGUGUGUAGGCGGUGCUCUAAGUCUGUUGUGAAAUCUCCCGGCUUAACUGGGAGGGUGCGGCGGAGACUGGAGUGCUAGAGUGUGGGAGAGGUAAGCGGAAUUCCUGGUGUAGCGGUGAAAUGCGUAGAUAUCAAGAGGAACACCUGAGGUGAAGACGGGUUGCUGGGCUGACACUGACGCUGAUGCGCGAAAGCCAGGGGAGCAAACGGG
rnacentral:rRNA from 1 species